CUCUGUCUGGCCUUGGAAAGAAGUUCACUUCAUUUUGGUGAACUAAAAGAGGAGGGAUAUGCAGAGUUGAAAUGAGAUGGAUUGGAAACUUUGUACUUGAAAAACCUAUGAAACUGCAUUACAUACAAUUCACAUUACAGAGGAAAUAGAGGAAGAGAGAUCCUGAGUGCAUCAAGCUUGAAUCAAAGGAUGCCUUGUCAGCAUUGAAUUCCCUAGACAUGGCCACACGAUUGAAGUGAAUUAAAUAAGGGUGAUUGCUUCGUCAGCACGGUGUUACAAAACAUGAGCAGAGAGCUGAAGAGGCCUGAAAGUAAGUGGAUGCCUUGAUAGAACUACAGUCCCAGAAUGAUGAUUGUGGAGAUGUCUGAUGCCUCAUUGGACCAAUGGAGGACAACAACGGUCAAUAAUGAGGAUGUGGAGAAGCGGGGGAGAGAGUCACACUUACCCUCCUCCUCCUAGAAUGCCUUCUGGGAUCUGUGUGAGUCCCGCUAACUGAGGCAUCUGGAUAUCAUAGGACAAAUUCAACGUGUUUGGCCAUGCAUGUCCCUUUUUUCAAACAGCCCAACAAAGGAAGCCUCUCAGCGUCCUCUAUUGGAAUUUUAAUGGAACACCACUCAUGUCUGGGGAAUACAAAUCUGGCAAGGAUAUUUUAUUCUACAUUGAUGUCUUCACAGCCUUUUCAUGCAAAACACAGUGGAAAAAAAGAAGAAGACAGAUUUUCAUAGGUUUUUCUUGUAUCAAAGAUACUGAUCUUAUGCCCACAAUGGUGUCACAUACCUGGAGUAGACGAGGUGUAUCAUGACAAUGACAACCAACCUGAUGACUCCAAUACAAUCCUUGAAUGCUUGGUUUCUCUAAUCUCUACAGUACAUUCCAGUAAAGGGAAUUUUACCCUUUCUUUGAAUGUGUUUUUAUUUCUCCUCUUUUAGUUUUAAUGUCUACAGAAUGCAUUGUGUAAAUGUGGACAUGCGAAUGCACACACAAAAUUAUUUAAAAAACUGAAAAAAAGAAGCCCAUAUGAAUACUUUAUCACCACCUUUGAGAUGCCACUAGUCAUCAGCUGUAGUUUUUUAGGGAAGGGAAGUACUACCAGUGUGCCCACAAGUGUGAGAUUCACACAGAUGAGAGGACCAAAUGAAAGAGUGGCCACGGCUUG